AUUUCUAGGCAGGACCAGAAACAUGAUCCAUUUAUUUGUACCAACAGUGUUUCUGCAAAAUUCUCAAAUCAUGUCACUUGUGGCGGUAAGUCUUAUAAAGUUCUACUUUCAAAGAGAAUCAAAACAUCUCUUAAUUUUCAUGGAAUCUUUAGCCUGCUAUUUUUGCUCAUGUCCAGCAAAUAAGGCUUUUUCCAUUCCCUGUGAACAAUUUGGGAAACAUCACUUUAGGCUGAGGCUUUUAAUAUGUUCACAAGACAGAUAUAUUUAGAAAUAAGAUUUCCAAUAUGUUCCCCACUGCCCUUUCUCCUAAACAUACAUUUGGAAAUUUUUUUUUGUAACCAUUAGAAUUAAAUUCAAUAUAUAAUUUUGGAAUGUCUCAAUACCUCUUAUACUUAUGACAUAGAUAAUAACCAAUGGCAACCUCAUGUUUUCCAGAGAUUAUGAAUCUGUGCUUGUCCUCAACUAUCGGGGCAAAAUUAUGUUUCCUGAAUACACCUGGAAAGAAAAGAAGAAAUGUUUCUCAGGCAAUGAUACCAGGAGAUAAUAGACUAUUAAAUUAUCAUUCAUAGAAGGGGAUUUAGCAAACAUGUGAACUCAUCCUCUCCUUACACACUUGGGGCUGAAAGACUGUAUACCU
rnacentral:lncRNA from 1 species